GCUAGGAAAGCGCUUCCCCGGCGCCCGCCUGCUGGACUUCCCCGCCCUUCCUUCCCGCCUAGGAACGCGCCUUUCGCCUCGGCUCGCCUUCCCCGCCGGUGCCUAAGCUGCGGAGACCUCACGGGGAGGGGAGCUUCGGAAGCGCCCUGGGAAAGCAAAGCCCCAGCUCUGCCCAAGUUUCUGAUGGUGGAAGCCAGGUGGAGACUAAGAAAGAGGACCGGCGAGCGGCGCCCCUCUUCCCGCUCAGGUGUCCUGCGAGGCGCGCGCUGGCAGCUAGGCUGGCAUCGGCCCCGGCUCAGGACUGCAGCAGUUACCUGGGGCCAAAAAGCUGCGUAAGUUAAAGCUAAAGGAUAAACUGUAAUGUGGAGACUUGAGGUACAGAAAGGGACCAUUUACCCGCCCGGAAAAAGAUCCACCUAGACUUACCCGGAUGCCCAUGAUGUGACCGCUGUGUCCCACCCCAACGUGAGUCACUUCACCCUCGUUAUAAUCCCAGACUUUGAUCAGAUGGUCGUGUCCGCCUGAAAAACAGUCACGUAACGUUGCUGACACGUGAUAGCAGAACACAGCUGCCUCGUUUUCAACACAUUUCCCCACGUGCCCACUGGAAGAAAGAAAGAUCCCUACGUAUAGGAAGCUGCUUCUUGAUCUAAAAGUGUGUGUGUUGGAGUAAAUGUGGAGGGAGAGGGAAGCACUGCCCGGGGUUAACCUCUAAGCACGCCCUGAUUUUAUUUCCUUCCGCUCUUUGAUCCACCGGUGCAGAAGUGUUUGCGCUCCACACCUCUGCAUGUGACUGGGCGUCCCACUCCGUGUAGUUCGUUAUCUAUCUUUAAGUCACUGAGCGUAUGGAACUUGGGUUAACCUGAAGCACUCAUAAUGUCCCGAAGAAUCAAAGAGCCUGACAGUAAAGUGUCUUGAUGUUUCAGAGGUCCUACAGUAAAUGUCCCCAGAAAAUGGUGACUGCCUCAUUCGUGGGAGGGAGCUGAAGCAGUGCAUUCUUUCACAACAACAGAUGGUGGCCUGCCUAUUCUCCUAGCACUCAGGAGUGUGAGGCAGGGGGAGCACAAGGUCAGGGCCAGCCUGAGCUACAUAUAGUGAGACCCUGUCUCAAAACAAAAACAAUGAACGACAACCAAAAAUGCAGAGGAAGCCAACUAGAAGGCCCAGGCCAUUUUUAAGAUUCGUCUCUACCCUAAGGAGCGAAGGCAGCGAUGCGAAGCUCUGCUCUUCUUUGUGUGCUGUACACACGUCUUCCCUCACGGACAUGUGACUUUUGGACUUUCCCAGCAUGGUGGGUCUGGGCUGAAUGUGACCAGCGCGUCCUUGAGACCCUCGACCAGCUCUUCCGACUGCCUCCCAACUCAGAGCUCUCCGCCCUUUAAGUAAGACAGCCUUUCUUAUCCCCUCACAGACUAACCUGUAACAAAGUGCUCUCCUUCCUGAGUGAUGUCCAUCCCGUUGAUGGACCCGGACAAGGAACCUUCCAACUCUCUGAUUACAGAGCCAUCAAAUACUUCCCAGUGCCAGGCAUGCAUGUGGCACAUAACACAUGCAGCUAAAACGCCCAUACAUGAACAAUAAGAGAUAAAAUCCCCAAGAAGCCCUUACGGGAGAAGGACACAGAGGACUGGUGCUCCUUCAGGGCCUCCUCCAGCUUCUGAGUCUGGCAGCCGAUCUGCCACACCCUCACCUGUGGGCGCCAACAAAGCACGAGCUGGCAACGCACACCCGGGACUUCCAGAGCGGA